GUGGUGUUUGUGGGGAGACGUGCACAUUUGCAACAGGGCAGGGUUUCUUUGCAAAGUCUUGCUUGGUUGUAAUUGUCUGAACAUCUAUAGAAAGGGCAUAACUUACUUCCAAAAUGUGUAUGAUGCCUGUACAGAAAAACAUCCACGGAAACAGUCCCGCUGUGCACUGUGGUCUGCCCGCUUUCUUCCCUGUGGAGCAGGGUGGGCAGCCCACAACAGUGCAUAGAACAACCUCAAUUCGGUUUUUAGUGUGUCUUGGUUUUCUAGAACGUCUUUAAAUGUAAUGUUGAUUCAGAAAGGCUGAUCCUGUGUCCUCCCACCUGCUCCGGGACUCUUAGUGCCAAGCAGAGAUGGCUUUUGCUCCCCUACUGGCUACACACAAGCUCAGUGUUAAAUACCCAAGCCUGAAGUCAGUAGAAGGAAGAAUUAAGUACCUCCUUCACCCUGGUGUGGCCUUGCAGGGGCACCAAACCUUCCUGCCUAGAAGGGUCACUUGGGGGUGGGUUAAGAAACCCCUGUGCUCCAGCUCUGAGCCUGUCAGCCAGUCUAUAGGACCUGAAGCUCCUGCACUGGCUCUUCUAUACAGCUGAGGGCGAAAGCCUUAGCCCUUGAACUCACUGCUCACAGGGCAGCUUUCUAAGCAGGUGUAGUUGGCCAAAAGUAUGGAACUGAGGUCCUCCCCAGACCUGCUGGAUCAGGAACUGAUUUAACGGGUGUUGGGUGAUUUGCAUGCACCUUAUGAUUCGAUUCAGAAGCCUUGUUUAGAGUGUGCUUGCCAUCUUUAGUAGACGUCAUGCAGAGCUAAGGAAAAUGCUUUUCCAGAGUCUAACCAAGACAAGUAAUGGGUGUUCCAAAUUCGCUUACUCUAGGCUCAUAGCAUCAAGCGUUGCACGGUUACAGGGGUUCCGUUCUUUCCUGGCUCAGACGACCUUCUGUGCUAGGCUGGGGCUCAGGAGAGCCUUGGUUCUGUCAGAACCGCUUGAACCAAACCUUUCACUCUGCCUGUUCCACAGCUGUCAGCAGGGAGUCAGCCCAGCCUUCUGUGUGUUCUGCUCUCCUGAGGGAUGGUGUCAGGCUGGAGUGGGCAGGUAACGGUGACAGCUGUCUAGCCAGCAUCAGUGACCUGCCACACAGUGUGCCCAGGGUAGGCAUGGAGCUCAUGCAUUCUUGUAUUCUAGGAGUGAUAUUCACAUGGGGCAGAAUUCAGAGGGCAUCUUAGAGCUCUUGUAUCAAAACUAACCAGUGUAGUGCGUGUGUGUGUGUGUGUAUGUGUGGGCGGGCGCAUGCGUGCCAGAGCGGCACAAAUGUGCCAGGCCUAAGUAAUCCCCAUCUCUCUGCAGACUCCAGUUUCCCCAUCUGUCUGACAGCUGGGACAAAGAGCAGAGUCAGUAACAUCUUAGCCUCAAAAGCAUGAGAGCCUGAGUUUUAAGUCUAAGACUCUAUCUGAAAACCCAGAGACACUGGUUCACACCUGAAAUCCCAGUGCUGGUAGGAGGCAGAGACCUGCACGCAUGUGCUUACACACACACACACACACACACACACACACACACACACACACACACACACACACACACACACAGAGCAGGCAAUGAGGAGAAAGACUGCAAAGCAGAGUUGAAGCUCAGUCUCUGCUUGAGGGUGUGGGGUUUUAAAAGUCUUUAAGGGAUCCCCUUCCCCUAGUUUAGGAUUAGUCAGUUUGAGCAAAGAUGGGGAGGCUGAUAGGUGCUCAACAUUAAGGUAAACAUGUCCUGAUCUCACCUAGAAUUCCUUGAUUUAUCCACAGUCUAAAGAACCCUUUAAGCGUUUGUCUUCGGUAAGGAGUGUGAGGAAGAAGCUGGAACUUGGCCAUUUUUAUUAGCUACUUAAGGACCCCUCUUUCUGUGUGUCUGCCUGCCAGGGGUCUGUCUUAUUCCUACCCCCCACUUCCAUCAUUCUCCCCGCAAGUAGUACUGCCUCGGCUCUUUCCCAUCCCCUGCAGCAGAGGUGAUGGUUAGGGUGCAAAGUAGAUGUGAGCAGAGUACAAGGCCGCUAGAAAUCCCCAGCUCCAGUCUAGCCACCUUGGAGGACUGAAAGGGAGCAGUAAAGAGGAAGCUACUUAUUUCUCCUUUCGAAUGAAAUACCAGAAUUUGCCUUGCUUAUAGGUUGGUUUACCAGCCGCCUCGGAAGAGGGAAGCCCAGCUCACUUCCUCUUGGCCAACACACUCCUGCAGCAAGGCUUUGCUUGGCUCCCUGGAAUUCAUGGUUCACUCCCCACCCACACACAUGGUGCCUCUCUAAGCGAGACCAAGUCUCCCUUCCAGCGUGGCUGAUGGAUGCCCUUGCCUCUUCUCAGCUUCGAACUGACUUGAUUACUGCCCUACUUCAGCAAGUUUUGAGCUCUGUAUUGCAGUGGGAGCCCAUAUCAGCAUGCCUACUUUCCCUUGUCUUGAGCACAUUUACUGGGAGCCUGUUAGUGAGGGACUGUCUGGUCAACCUGAGGCUUGGGGUAAGCAGCAGGGCCUCCUAAGCAGCUGCUUCCUGUCCUUCCAGAGAACCAACCUUCAGUCACUGGGCCUUUUCCUGGUUUUAUUCAAAAGACUGUGUCCAUAAAGGUAAAGCACUCACUCAGUCUCAAAAGGCGCUGGGGAAGGGAGGGACAGACCAAGCAGUGAGGACGCUCCCUUCUAGACCUAACUCUCAGAGCUCCUGGGACUGGUAGGCUAGGAAGGAGCGUCUCAGUUGAGGAUUGUGUUCAGAACAAAGCUGGGUAUUCUGGAGGGAAUGCAGGCUCUAGCACCUAGCAGCAGAUUAGGGCUCUGCACAGCCCACCACAGGAUGGAGGAGUCAGCUCAGAGGGUUCAAAGGCUGUGCAGAGGGAGACCUGAUACCUCUGAGUCUAUGGAAGCUGGAAGCACAAGAAGCAGUAAGAUGGGCUGGGGCUUGGUUCCCAUUCCCUGUCUUGGGCUUUUGUUUUUUAGCACUUAACUGAGUAGCCAUUUUCAACCAAAUAUCCAUCAGCCUAAAGAAACAAAAACUUUGUAAGGUAGC
rnacentral:lncRNA from 1 species